rnacentral:tRNA from 1 species
GUCGCCGUGGACGAUGAGGAGCGGGGUGGGGGCGAUCUUCGGGACCGCCUCGGUCGGGGAGAGCGGCACCGGGUCCCAGUCCCGGUGGUGGAUCC